GACGAACGCUGGCGGCGUGCUUAACACAUGCAAGUCGAACGCUGAAGCUUGGUGCCUGCACUGGGUGGAUGAGUGGCGAACGGGUGAGUAAUACGUGAGUAACCUGCCCUUGACUCUGGGAUAAGCCUGGGAAACUGGGUCUAAUACUGGAUACGACAUGUCACCGCAUGGUGGUGUGUGGAAAGGGUUUUACUGGUUUUGGAUGGGCUCACGGCCUAUCAGCUUUUUGGUGGGGUAAUGGCUCACCAAGGCGACGACGGGUAGCCGGCCUGAGAGGGUGACCGGCCACACUGGGACUGAGACACGGCCCAGACUCCUACGGGAGGCAGCAGUGGGGAAUAUUGCACAAUGGGCGAAAGCCUGAUGCAGCGACGCCGCGUGAGGGAUGACGGCCUUCGGGUUGUAAACCUCUUUCAGCACGGAAGAAGCGAAAGUGACGGUACGUGCAGAAGAAGCGCCGGCUAACUACGUG
rnacentral:rRNA from 1 species